AUACAGAGGGUGCGAGCGUUGUUCGGAAUUACUGGGCGUAAAGAGCAUGUAGGCGGUUUAGUAAGUCAGAUGUGAAAUCUCGGGGCUCAACCUCGAACGUGCAUUUGAAACUACUAGACUUGAGUAUGGUAGAGGAUUGUGGAAUACCCAGUGUAGAGGUGAAAUUCGUAGAUAUUGGGUAGAACACCGGUGGCGAAGGCGGCAAUCUGGGCCAUAACUGACGCUGAGAUGCGAAAGCGUGGGGAGCAAACAGGAUUAGAUACCCUGGUAGUCCACGCCCUAAACGAUGGAUACUCACUGUAGCAGGUAUUGACCCCCGCUGUAGUCUAGCUAACGCGUUAAGUAUCCCGCCUGGGGAGUACGGUCGCAAGAUUAAA
rnacentral:rRNA from 1 species